rnacentral:rRNA from 1 species
AUUGAACGCUGGCGGCAGGCUUAACACAUGCAAGUCGAACGAGUGGCGGACUGGUGAGUAAUGCUUGGGAAUCUAGCUUAUGGAGGGGGAUAACUUCGGGAAACUGUAGCUAAUACCGAGUACCAUAGGAAGAGCCCAAGUGGGAUUAUGUAGUUGGUGAGGUAAAGGCUCACCUAGCCGACGAUCUCUCGCUGGUCUGAGAGGAUGACCAGACAACCGGGGAUUGAGACGCGGCCCAGACUCCUACGGGAGGGUGCAGUGGGGAAUAUUGCGCAAUGGGGGCAACCUGACACAGCCAUGCCGCUUGAAUGAAGAAGGCCUUCGGGUUUUAAAGUUCUUUCGGUAGCGAGGCGUUAACGACAGAAGAAGCACCGGCUAACUCCGUGCCAGCAGCCGCGGUAAUAG